rnacentral:rRNA from 1 species
GAUGAACGCUGGCGGCGUGCUUAACACAUGCAAGUCGAACGGAGGACCCUUGACGGAGUUUUCGGACAACGGAUAGGAAUCCUUAGUGGCGGACGGGUGAGUAACGCGUGAGGAACCUGCCUUGGAGAGGGGAAUAACACAGAGAAAUUUGUGCUAAUACCGCAUGAUGCAGUUGGGUCGCAUGGCUCUGACUGCCAAAGAUUUAUCGCUCUGAGAUGGCCUCGCGUCUGAUUAGCUAGUUGGUAGGGUAACGGCCUACCAAGGCGACGAUCAGUAGCCGGACUGAGAGGUUGGCCGGCCACAUUGGGACUGAGACACGGCCCAGACUCCUACGGGAGGCAGCAGUGGGGAAUAUUGGGCAAAUGGGCGAAAGCCUGACCCAGCAACGCCGCGUGAAGGAAGAAAGGCCCUCGGGUUGUAAACUUCUUUUGUUCAGGGACGAAGCAAGUGACGGUACCUGACGAAUAAGCCACGGCUAAACUACGUGCCAGCCGCCGCCGU